ensembl:snRNA U4 U4 spliceosomal RNA
AGCUUUGUGCAGUGGCAGUAUCGUAGCCCAUGAGGUUUAUCCGAGGCGCGAUUAUUGCUAAUUAAAAUUACAUUUACCCUUCAUUAUUUUUAUCCUAUGACACAUAGAAGAGCAAUAGGAAUGACUGACUGAAAAUUAGUCUC